GAUGAACGCUGGCGGCGUGCCUAAUACAUGCAAGUCGAGCGAACAGACGAGGAGCUUGCUCCUCUGACGUUAGCGGCGGACGGGUGAGUAACACGUGGAUAACCUACCUAUAAGACUGGGAUAACUUCGGGAAACCGGAGCUAAUACCGGAUAAUAUAUUGAACCGCAUGGUUCAAUAGUUAAAGACGGUUUUGCUGUCACUUAUAGAUGGCUCCGCGCCGCAUUAGCUAGUUGGUAAGGUAACGGCUUACCAAGGCAACGAUGCGUAGCCGACCUGAGAGGGUGAUCGGCCACACUGGAACUGAGACACGGUCCAGACUCCUACGGGAGGCAGCAGUAGGGAAUCUUCCGCAAUGGGCGAGAGCCUGACGGAGCAACGCCGCGUGAGUGAUGAAGGUCUUCGGAUCGUAAAACUCUGUUAUUAGGGAAGAACAAAUGUGUAAGUAACUAUGCACGUCUUGACGGUACCUAAUCAGAAAGCCACGGCUAACUACGUG
rnacentral:rRNA from 1 species